UACCUUUUGGUGUAAAGACACGAUAGAUUUUGAUUCUUUAGGAGAAGGUUAAAUCCUUUAUUGGUAA
rnacentral:tRNA from 1 species